GACAGAGGGUGGCAAACGUUGCUCGGAAUCACUGGGCGUAAAGGGCGUGUAGGCGGGAAGGAAAGUCAGAUGUGAAAUCCCCAGGCUCAACCUGGGAACUGCAUUUGAAACUCCCUUUCUUGAGUACCGGAGAGGAAAGUGGAAUUCCUGGUGUAGAGGUGAAAUUCGUAGAUAUCAGGGAGGAACACCAGUGGCGAAGGCGGCUUUCUGGACGGUAACUGACGCUGAGACGCGAAAGCGUGGGGAGCAAACAGA
rnacentral:rRNA from 1 species